rnacentral:rRNA from 1 species
CCUACGGGUGGCAGCAGUCGAGAAUCAUUCACAAUGGGGGAAACCCUGAUGGUGCGACGCCGCAUGGGGGAAUGAAGGUCUUCGGAUUGUAAACCCCUGUCAUGUGGGAGCAAAUUAAAAAGAUAGUACCACAAGAGGAAGAGACGGCUAACUCUGUGCCAGCAGCCGCGGUAAUACAGAGGUCUCAAGCGUUGUUCGGAAUCACUGGGCGUAAGGCGUGCGUAGGCUGUUUCGUAAGUCGUGUGUGAAAGGCGCGGGCUCAACCCGCGGACGGCACAUGAUACUGCGAGACUAGAGUAAUGGAGGGGGAACCGGAAUUCUCGGUGUAGCAGUGAAAUGCGUAGAUAUCGAGAGGAACACUCGUGGCGAAGGCGGGUUCCUGGACAUUAACUGACGCUGAGGCACGAAGGCCAGGGGAGCGAAAGGGAUUAGAUACCCGGGUAGUC